ensembl:lncRNA
UUUAAGGAUUUUAUAAAACAUGUGUUUUCAUGUAUUAAAAAGUUAUUGUGUUUAUUUUGCUAAAUAGUAUAAAUAUCUUAAAUUUGGAUUAUUCUGUGUAUGGGUUAUUGAUACGGUUUGGCUGUGCUCCCACCCAAAUCUUAUCUUGCAGUUCCCAUAAUCCCCACGUCAUGGAAGACAUCAGGUGGAAAUAAUUAAAUAAUGGGGAUGGUUUCCCCAUCUGGCUCUCACAAUAGUGAGUUUUUACGAGAUGUGAUGGUUUUAUAAGGGACUUUUUCCUUCACUGGGCAGUCAUUCUCUCUCCUGCCACCCUGUGAAGAGGUGCCUUCUGCCAUGACAGUAAGUUUCCUGAGGCCUGCCCAGCCAUGCAGAACUGCUCAUAGGUGGAAGAAACUUGCCUUGCCCAACCCAGAUGAGACUUUGGAUUGGAUUUUGAGUUGAUGAUGGAAUGAGUUAAGACUUUGGGGAACUGAUGGAAAGACACAAUUGUGUUUUAAAUGGUAAAGAUGUGAAAUUUGGAAGGAGCCAGGGUAGAAUGAUAUGGUUUCCCUGUGUCCCCACCCAAAUCUAAUAUUGCAUUGUAGUUCCCAUAAUCCCCAAGUGUUGUGGGAGGCAACAGGUGGAGAUAACUGAGCCACAUGGAUAGUUUUCCCCCUCCUAUUCUGGUGAUACUGAGUUCGUUUUCAUGAGAUCUGAUGGUUUUAUAAGGGACUUUCCCCUUCGCUGGGCACUCAUUCUCUUUCCUGCCACCUGGGAACAGGUCCCUCUGUCGUAAUUGUAAGUUUCCUGAGGCCUCCCCAGCCAUGCAGAACUCUGAAUCAAUUAAACCUUUUUUCUUUAUGAAUUACCCUGUCUUGGGUAUUUCUUCAUAGCAGCAUGAGAAUGGACUAAUACAACAAAUAUGUGGACUGUUUUCAGUUUAAGAUAUAAUGAUAAAAGUUCUGUGGACAAUUGUGCACAAGACUUUUUGUAGACUUAUGCUCUUAUUUUUAACGGGUGAAGACCUCAGAACAGAAUUAUUGGAUUAGAGAAAAGUUGUAAAUCUUCCAGAGUUAUCCAAAGAGCUUACAUUUGUAUGAACAAUUGAGGAGGGUUUCUGAUUUCUCUUCAUCCUCACCAACGCUUGUCUAUGUCAAUCCUUUUUAUUUUGGC